rnacentral:rRNA from 1 species
ACGUACGCUGGCGGCACGCCUAACACAUGCAAGUCGAACGAAGUAGCAAUACUUAGUGGCAGACGGGUGAGUAACAUGUAGGUAUCUGCCCUUUGGCCUGGAAUAACACGAGGAAACUUGUGCUAAUACUGGAUAAGUCUUUACGGAGAAAGCUUUAUGCACCAUUGGAUUAGCCCGCGUUAGAUUAGAUAGUUGGUGGGGUAAUGGCCUACCAAGUCUACGAUCUAUAGCUGGUUUGAGAGGAUGAUCAGCAACACUGGGACUGAGACACGGCCCAGACUCCUACGGGAGGCAGCAGUGGGGAAUCUUGC